UACGUAGGGUGCAAGCGUUGUCCGGAAUUAUUGGGCGUAAAGAGCUCGUAGGCGGUCUGUCACGUCGGCUGUGAAAUCCCGAGGCUCAACCUCGGGUCUGCAGUCGAUACGGGCAAACUAGAGUAUUGCAGGGGAGACUGGAAUUCCUGGUGUAGCGGUGAAAUGCGCAGAUAUCAGGAGGAACACCGAUGGCGAAGGCAGAUCUCUGGGCCGAUAUUGACGCUGAGGAGCGAAAGCGUGGGGAGCAAACAGG
rnacentral:rRNA from 1 species